rnacentral:rRNA from 1 species
GACGAACGCUGGCGGCGUGCUUAAUACAUGCAAGUCGAACGGAAGGGCGUUUUCCUCGGUUCUCCAGUGGCGAAGGGGUGCGGAAAACGAGGGUGCUCACCCCCGCACUCUAGGAAAAGGAUGCGCAACUGGGCCCAAUACCAGAGAGGACCGCACUUUAGAGUGCGCUGUGGAAAACGUUCACGGUGGUGUUCGAGUCUGCGGCCCAUCAGCUCGUUGGUGGGGUAAUGGUCUACCAAGGCGCCGACGGGUAGCCGCACUGUGAGGUUGGUAGGCCACAUUGGGACCGAGAUACGGCCCAGACUCCUACGGGAGGCAGCUGUGGGGAAGCUUGCCCGAUGGGCGCAAGGCUGAUGCAGAGACGCCGCGUGGGGGAUGACGGCCUUAGGGUUGUAAACUCCUUUCGCCAGGGACGAAGCGUUUUGUGACGGUACCUGGAGAAGAAGCCCCGGCUAACUACGUG